UCCUUGGUGGCUGACAGUAAAGCGUCUGCCUACAGUGCAGGAGACCCGGGUUCGACCCCUGGGUUGGGAA
rfam:TPA: Bos taurus chromosome 22, whole genome shotgun sequence.